rnacentral:lncRNA from 1 species
GAAAAAAAUGCAGUCUAUUAAAUACAGUGCACAAUUCACCGAAAAAAUGUAGCUCAUUUUUACAUGUAAGGGUGUUUUGCCUUCAUGUACAUUAUGUGCACAACUCAAGUGGCUGGUGCCAGCACAGCUCAGCAAGAGGCUAUCCGGUCCUCUGAAAACUGGCAUUACAAAUGGUUGUAAUUCACCAUGUCGGUGCCUGGAACUGAACCCAGGUACUCUGCAAGAGCAGCAAGCACUCUUAACCUCUGAGCCAUCUCUCCAGAGGCUUACCAUGCUUAAAAUAAUUCAUGCUUCCCCAAAUCAUUCUCUGCUUCCCUCAAAUAAACGUUGGCGGGUAUAAUGGAUAAAAUUGUCUCGCAAUUACAGCAGGUGAAAAUAACUAGUACUGCAUACCUAUGUUUGGGACUUAAGAAUAGUACAGAUAUUUUAGCGUUAGGAUUAACGACGAGAGAUAAAACGCACACCAAGCGAAACAUGGAGCACUAGGGAUAAGGCACACGACAGAGGUUCAGUCAAGUCGAUGAGAAAGAACCACAAAUGAAAAUGUUAACAGGGUUGGCCAGUGGGCUAUUAAGUUGAAUGAGGCAAGAGCGUUACUACAGUUUAUUAAUGCCAGCCCCGGGUCCUGAGGAGCAGGGACUUCAGCAAGCGGGACUGCGAGGAUACGGCCCUGGGAGCUCCCAGGAAAGGCGUCCACCCGCGAGAACCUAGACCAGAGCCCAUUCGCUCAGUCCCCUCCACCAGCGCCAGGCCCGGCCCGCUCACGCCGCACCGCGCGGGGCGCGGGCCGCCGGUGGAGACGGCGCAGCCACGCGCGGAAAGCGAGGCCCACCCGGCCAGCACCCACUCGCAUGCUCCUGUCCUCUACACGCGAUCCAGCACCCCGCCGCCCCCACUCUGGCUGCUUGUCUAUCCCGAGUCUCCAGAGUUCGGUAAUUACCUAAGGCUCCACCGUGCCGCCAUCGCACCGGAAGUGCGUCACUUCCUCUUCCCGGGUGAAGGCAGAGCGAGAAAUUCGUGGAAAUCUGGUAGUAAAUUGACUCUAGUAUGUUACUCUAGUAAUGAUAAUACCGUGAGCAACACCAGAGUCAAAGCAAUCCAGCCAUCCACCCUGUCCCUCCUUGCCAAGACUGUGCGAAAAUAGAAGUCCGUGUGAACUACAAUGUCCAGGAUCCUCUGGUAGCGCGGACGGAAAUGAGAAGUAGUACCCUGCCAGAGAUAACCGCGGAGCUUCAUGGGAAUUGCAGUUCGUAGUGGAAAUCCUGCACUCCAGAUGGUGACGACAUUAGAAGAUGGAUGGGACUUGUUAGGAAAUGACUAAGUCAUGGAAUAGAGUCCACGGAAUGGGACCAAACUGAAUAGUAAGAUAUUCCUGGGCUCACUCCUGUGGAGACUGGCAGAGCUCAAGACCUCACUGGCUGUCAUUCAAAGACUUUCUCCUGGUUGCUAAUGUGGAACUCUUACUAGAUAGCUCCAAAAAGAGACAGUUCUUUGGAAUGAACCAGUGGAAAUGGACAAGACGACAUUGCUUAAUCUCAGCAGAGAUAUCUUGCCGUUUUUACAAUGCUCUGUAAGAAGCCAUUUUCUGUCAGAUACAGGAGCUUUGAGGAGAAUUA